GCAGGCGUAGUGUAGUCUGGCAGCACAAGGGCCUUCCAAGCCCUUAGCCCGGGUUCAAAUCCCGGCGCCUGCACUA
rnacentral:tRNA from 1 species